rnacentral:tRNA from 1 species
GUUUAUGUAGUUUAAUAAGAAUAGUAAUUUGUGGUGUUACAGGUGUAAUAUUUGUUACUUUAAACC